rnacentral:rRNA from 1 species
GGCGACGAUGCGUAGGGGUUCUGAGAGGAAGGUCCCCCACACUGGUACUGAGACACGGACCAGACUCCUACGGGAGGCAGCAGUGAGGAAUAUUGGUCAAUGGCCGGGAGGCUGAACCAGCCAAGUCGCGUGAGGGAAGACGGCCCUACGGGUUGUAAACCUCUUUUGUCAGGGAGCAAGGUGCAGGUCGGGACCUGCUGUGAGAGUACCUGAAGAAAAAGCAUCGGCUAACUCCGUGCCAGCAGCCGCGGUAAUACGGAGGAUGCGAGCGUUAUCCGGAUUUAUUGGGUUUAAAGGGUGCGCAGGCGGAGGCACAAGUCAGCGGUAAAAUCGCGGGGCUCAACCCCGCUCCGCCGUUGAAACUGUGUCCCUUGAGUGCGCGAAGGGUAGGCGGAAUGCGUGGUGUAGCGGUGAAAUGCAUAGAUAUCACGCAGAACUCCGAUCGCGAAGGCAGCCUACCGGCGCGCAACUGACGCUCAUGCACGAAAGCGUGGGUAUCGAACAGGAUUAGAUACCCUGGUAGUCCACGCAGUAAACGAUGAAUGCUAUCUGUCCGGCCGGAAUGACGGCUGG